UUAAAGGCUCUUUUCAGGGCCAUACAAAUUUAGUAAAGGAGAUAU
rfam:Stegodyphus mimosarum contig82537, whole genome shotgun sequence.